rnacentral:rRNA from 1 species
AGCGAACGGUGGCGGCGUGGAUUAGGCAUGCAAGUCGCACGAGAACGGUUCAGCUUGCUGGACUUAUUAAAGUGGCGAACGGGUGAGUAAUGUAUGGACAAUCUAUCCCUGACUCGGGAACAACAGUUGGAAACGACUGCUAAUACCCAAUAGCCCCGGUAGGAGGUACUCCGGCCGGGUAAAGGUGGCAACACUGAUUGGGGAGGGGUCCAUAUCCCAUCAGCUUGUUGGUGAGGUAACGGCUCACCAAGGCGACGACGGGUAGCCGAACUGAGAGGUUGAUCGGCCACAUCGGGACUGAGACACUGCCCGGACUCCUACGGGAGGCUGCAGUCGAGAAUCUUCCGCAAUGGACGCAAGUCUGACGGAGCGACGCCGCGUGAAGGAUGAAGGCCCUCGGGUUGUAAACUUCUGUCACUCGUGAAGAAUGUCUGUGGUUAGCCCACCGACUGACGUUAGCGAGAGAGGAAGCCACGGCUAACUUCGUGCCAGCAGCCGCGGUAAGACGAAGGUGGCAACCGUUGCUCGGAUUCACUGGGCAUAAAGCGCGCGUAGGUGGCUAGGAAAGUCAUCGGUGAAAUCCCACGGCUUAACCGUGGAACUGCCGAUGAAAC